rnacentral:rRNA from 1 species
GGGUCAGUAGGUUGGUCGUGCCACCGGUACGUACUGGUCUCACUGACUCCUCCUUCCUGAAGUACCGUAAUGCCAUUAAUUUGGUGUUGCGGGGAAACAGGACUGUUACUUUGUAAAAAUUAGAGUGUUUAAAGCAAGCUAACGCUUGAAUACAUUAGCAUGGAAUAAUGAAAUAGGACGAUCGAUCCUAUUUUGUUGGUUUCUAGGAUUGACGUA